UUCGGCGCCGGAUCCCCCGGGAGGAAAAUGGCUUCCUCGGAGAGCAGAGCCGGCUAACACGAGGACACGUUGAGGUCAUCUCGGUGCGCGCCUCUUCUCCAGGGCGGAACCUAAUCGGCAGCGGGGAAUCUAAGGCCCGGCUUUAUUGUUGGUCGGCGUCUUUCUUUGUGGCUGCGUUUUACGAGAUCGCUCCAGGCGAAAUGUUGGAGCAUUUGUCCUGGGUUCCAGUUUGUGUAAUGAAAGUCCUGCUUCAGAGUGAGGUGCUUUACAACUGCUGAUUGUGAACAUGGGAUUCGAGCACAUGAUCUGCAAUCCCUUGUGGAACAUCUGGAUGUCUUCCUGCCUUUUCUCCACCAUGAUCCUGAUAACAGUACAGGUAGUCCUUGACUUACAAACAGUUCAUUUAGUGACCAUUCAAAGUUACAGUGGCACUGAAAAAAGUGACUUAUGAUUGUUUUUCACAUGACCAUUGCAGCAUCCAUAUGGUCACUUGAUCAACAUUCAGAUGCUUGGCAACUGAUUCAUAUUUAUGAUGGCUUCACUGUCCUAGGGUCAUGUGAUCAGCUUUUGCGACCUUUUGAGAGGCAAAAUCAAUGGGAAAUCCAGAUUCACUUAACAACAGUGGCAAGAAAAGUCAUAAAAUGGGGCAAACUCACUUAACAAAUAUUUCACUUGGCAGCAUAAAUUUUGGGCUCAAUUGUGGCUGCAACUCGAGGACUAUCUGUAUACAUGAGGAGAACCAGAAGCUUCCUCCUGAACAACAACCCAAGUCAUGACUGAAAGAGACACUGAAGAGAAAGGAAUGAGAGUUAUGUGUAGAUAUUUAUUAAGUUUCUGGAAAUCUACAGCUGCACCCUCACUUAUGAACAAGUGUGUUAAUACCCCUUGCAGUGGGUAUCCAAGUAACUGGUUAGGACAGUAUGGAUUAAGCCUAGACUAUGUUCUGGUAUUAGGCUGAAUUUCGAGACUUGUUUUACUUUCCCACCACUCUCUGCUUUACUUCCUACAGAUUCCUACUCUUCAAUAGAGAGUUUUUAGUUAAGGCAGGUUAAGUUCUCCUUAGCUGCUUUUAUUUCUUUUGAUUUGUUCAGGAAAAAAAGUUCCCUAAAUGUAAAAAUUAAAUGGGAAGCCUACCUAGUUAUCCACUGUAUGUUCUGGGUAGAAGUUGUGCAGCUGAUCUUGGAUAAAAAGACUUGCUCUGGUUUUUUUCCACAAUGCAAUGUAAAAAAACCUGUUUUGGUAAUGAGAGCUGCAGGUCUUUUCAGGGAACCUUAGAUUCCCCCCCCCCCUUUAUACCUAACUAGGUCACAGUUAUACCUAGACAAUUUUUUAUGAAUUUGUUUUGCCACCUUCUGGAGGUUUCACUAUAUUGUCUAAAUAAUUGAGUUUUAAUAUAAUUGUAUAAUAUAUAAUUGCAUACAAUAUUGUAUACAUUAUUAUACACUUAUACAAUAAUUGUAUAACAUUGUAAAAUUUUAUAUUAAGUCUCCCUUAUUCAGACAGCAUCUGAAUGAUGUCAGCCUCAGGUGUGUAACAUUUGUAAUGUCACCCAUUAUCUUGAAGGAAGUCAAGUGAACAGAAGCAAUAGAGGCAGAAGUGGGAUCAGCAAUCAGCAAAUUUCAUGCCAGUACAACUUUCUGGAUAACAUUUCAACUCGGUACUGGAAAAACAUUUCUUAUUUGUAUAGAAAGGGGCCAUUGAGGCUAACCUCUUGCUCAGUGGGGGAAUUCAAACCAGACAUGUUAAAAUAAUUAGGGAACGAGUCAGAUAUAUUCCUAACCUCUUCAUGUUGCUGCCUCUGAUUUUGCCAGCAUCCCAACCUGAAUUGUGUUCAGAGUUUGAAAGAAAUUCAUAUUUUGCUAUCUAUACUUUGUUCAGCUACCACAGAAGUUGAGUAAAAAACUGACUACCUAGGACAUAAACUGGGUUCUAAAAUGAAAGCAACUGAAUUGCUGCAUUUUCUGUACUCAUAUUCUAUUUCUUUUUAAUGUAUUUUGUUAAAAGCAGCUCUGGGAAAAUCUUGGUUUUGGUUAAAAAUGGUUGCUAAAGCUGCCAUUAAUCUGAGUAGUUGGAUGCCUCCUUUAGAACCUAAACCUAACCUCUUCUAAAGCAAAGCCUUUUGGUUGAUGAGAGCCAAUAAGAAAUUUUGAUUGGGCACAAUGUAAUUGUUAUUCAUGCAAAAGUCAGAAUGCAGAAUAUCCAUUACCACUCUUCGAUUCUCUUUCACAUGUAGUAAUGGCCAAAAUUGUGGAAACCUUUUGGGAAAAGUGUAUUUUUGAGGUUUGAUGGCUAAUAACACCGCUUUUUUGGGUGGAGUUUCAAGAUAAUCAUAGUCCACUUAACCCAAUUGAAAAUCUAUGAAAUCUAUUGAAAAUCUAUGGAGUCGACUAAAGAAACUUGUUAGUCAGAAGCGACCCAGCAAUAAAACCCAGUUAAUAGAAGCAAUCAUUCAAUCUUGGUUUCACAUUAUGACAGCUUCAGAACUAAAAGACUUGGUUCACUCCAUGGGAAGACAUUGUAAGGCUGUAAUUCAUGCUAAAGGUUACCCAAUUAAGUAUUAACUGCCAUGAUAAUUUUUGUAUAUCUCAUUUUUUCUACGGUCAUAAUUUUUGUAUAUCUUUUUUCUAUCUGUUUAACUUUUCUUCUUUAUAUUGUAACUGCUAUUCUAAUAGCAAAUCCUUCAUAAAAGUUCUUGCAUUACAUUCUUGAUAAAUUAUCUUCCCAUUGAUAUAUAAUUUUAUGAUACUACUACAAAAAAAAGUGGUGUUAUUAGCUAGUUUUAGAAAAUACACUUUUCCCAAAAGGUUUCCACAACUUUGGCCACUACUGUAUCAUGAUCCGAAAAAUAUUACUUCCCUGAUUUUUGACUCAAUCCAUAGGUUUUUCUAAAUCUAGUACUGAGAUUUACGUACAGAUUGGCACACAUUUACUAAUCCUCUGCACUAAAAUAAGUGGGUUCACAAUAGUGGGUUGGUUGUAAGUGGUUUGGAUUGGAGGCUGAUAUAUGUUCUAUGUAGGUUGAGUGAAUUCAUGCUGUGUUUUGACUAGUGCUGAAAGCAAUUGAUGUUCUCCUAUUCUGUAAGAACCAAAACGCUUAAAAUAACACAGCAUCCAUUAGUACUCUUUGCUCUGCUUCUGACCUGCAACAACUCUUUUGAAAAGUGAGCAAACCAUUUCUGAUACCAGCACUCAGACAAAAAAAAACUAGGAGUAAUGAACUAUAUAAUCACAAUCUAGUACACAGGACAGCAAAGCCUUUUAAAAGAUUUUAUUUAUUUUUUGGAUUCAGUUUUGGCACUACUCAACUUCAACUGAUUCUAGUUAAACAAUCAGUUCCUAAUUACCUUCUUAGUCAAGAACGUACAACUAGAUGAGAUGCCCCUUUUCUACAUAAUGCCUGUCACACAUGCAUAUCAAAAUCAUCUUUAUAUGCUACUUUCUCUCAGUGCUAAGAUCUUCAUUUCUAUAUACUUGAAAUGCUACAUUUAAAUGUCCAUUGUUCCUCCCUGUCAGUUUAUUAAGUGGAUUUUCCAUAUAUCUGCUUGCUGUACUUCUAGGAAUUUCUUCAGCUUUCUACUACAUGCCACUUGUACCACCAUUCCUAUAUCCAAAAUAUUUAACUGUUUGUGUUUAUUAAUCACCAUUAAGUGUUCUGGUACAAUAGAUAUCCUAAAGUCUGCCAUUAGCAUUUCCAGCAUGUAGUAUCAUUACCAGCUCUUUACAUGUGUAAAAUGUAUGUCUGUGUAAUGACUGUGCAAUCCAGUUCAUGGUUGGAUCCUUUGUUUUGAGUAUAACCCAAUCCAUCUUUGUCUAAUACGAGAAGUACUUAUCAAAUCAAGUACUCAUCUUGAUUUGCCAGUACCAUUUGAAAGAAUCUCGUAUUUCCUUUCACAUUAUCCAGUUCUACAAAGACAGGAAAACAAGUGCAAACAUAUACAUUUUUCAAUAUAAAGUACAGCUGUGAAAAAAAGUAGGAAAAAUGAACAAGUGAAGAGGAAUAUGUAACAAGUAGUACAACUGAAGAAUUACUAACGUUAAACAAAAUAAAACAUUAGACUAUUAUGGAUAUAUUGUGAAAGAAGGAAGGAAAUCUUCUCUACUUGGCGAAACAAUCUCCAUCACUCAGAAUAUUUUUGUUCUAGGCCCCUUAUCAUCUUGGUUACUCUUUUCUGGACAAAGCCCUCUACUGUUAAUUGACAACAAAAGUAUAAUAAAAACACUACAUGCUUAGUGUCUAACAUUGAAUACUGAUUAACUUGUUCUGGAGGGGAGUGUUCAGCUUGCAGCUCUAGAAUCAGGUAUCUCUGAAAUUUCUUUCUGGGGUUUCAAUAGUCCCUCUAAAGGCUCCUCUUUAUGUUCCCUUUGCUUCAGUAUAUAGAAGAUUCAAUAACCAUUUACUGAGAGCACAGAUACAGUAUUGUUCUCAACCUACUCGUUGCCCACUAAUGAUUUUUCAGCUUUUGCUGGCCUAAGCUGUGCUGAGAGGAAGUAAUUCUGAGGUAGGUUUGGGAAUAGGGACUGUCCUACUGCUAUUGACCACCUUAGGCAAAGAUGUGCAUGACCCUUUCUGGUCUCCACCUACUGAUUUUAGAGUAAUUCAAUUUGGGGCAGCAGGAGUGCCAGGAUGUGCUCACUAUGCCAAAAAGCCAUCUCCACAACUCCUCUUGCCAAUUCAGGGAUGUCAGGAAAAAUGGGAAGAAAAUGAGGGGAAGUGCAUCUUUUAGUACCACUUGUAAUUCCCCACCAUCCAGUCAGAGCUGAAGAAGCUUCUUGGAUGAGAAGCAAAACAUCUUCAAAGAAAAACCAGAAAGUCCAGUAGACUCUUGAAAAAACAACUUUGGGACAGCCAUGACCUGAUCACUGACAAUCUCCAUAGACUCUUGUCCUAUUACUAAAAAGACCCAUUGCUUCCCCCACGGUAGCUUUAGUGCAUGGGUGACAGCUGCAGAACCCCAAGGCACUGCUCCUUUCCUCUUGAACUGCAGUGCAGAAGCCUCGGGCAGGCAAUUUAAAAUAGACCCAGCAAUCUUGAACUUGUCAUGAAUACCCUCCUUCAUUUCAUUGUUGCAAUGCCCAAGCUGUGAAUGGGGUAUUUUAGACAUGUGCCCAGCAGUCUUUUGGCAGUUGGGCCAAAUGCACAGGUUAUGCAUUUCAAAUAUGCCUCCUCCCAUUGCUUUGGUAUAUGGUGCCAAAACAAAGUUUUGUAGGUUGUAUCUUAGGGAAAAUGACAUCUUUUAAGAUAUAUCUGCCAACCAAAGAGAGGCAGGUAGCUGUUCUGUGGAGGCUUCUGUUUGCGGGGAAUUUUUUUCUGGUUCCCCCUCACCUGAGGAAGAUAGUUUUGAGCUUGUAGUGUAGGGAAGUGAGUAAGAAAACCUGCUUCUCUUUCUUCUUUUCCUAUUUCAUCUGCCUUCCUUAUCCAGAAAAACAGGAGGGAGGGAAAAGCACAGUUCAUGGGUUCUUUGAAUGGCAUCAUUAAUUGAUCCAUAACUGUAGGAUAAUCCAAUCUUACAAUACAUGCCCUCUGCAUGUCUUUGGAUUAUAACAAUUGUCAGAAUCGGCAAGCAUGAUCAUUAGCCUAAUGGUGACAUAAAUUGUAAUGAAAGUGAAGUAGGUUCUUUUCCUCAGAAGAUUUAGGUUAUAGAUCAUCCUGCCAUAAGGACCCUAUUGAGAGCGCCUAGGAGCUGCCUGGGAUAUUGGGUUCCAUAUAUGCCUAAUACAACAUAAGAAGGGUUUAAUAUGUGAUUUUUUUUAAAUCCAUGAUUCAUUCUAUUUUGAGAUAAAUACAGCCAAAAUAAAAUUAAUAACAAUUAAAAAUACUUUUCUCAAUGUGCAAUUAAAAAUGUGCUUGGUUUUUAGAAACUGAGACAAAUAUGCUUAACUUUGUGGUAAAGUUUUAAAUUAAUUUUCAUUGUAACAGUCAACCCAUUAAAAGUUCCAUUAAACACAGAAAAGGUACAGUAGUUUAGAGAAAAGCAAUUAAAAAUAUUGAUUUAUGCCCAAACUGUGGCAUAAAGAAUGUAGCUUUACUCUAUUAUUAAUGAAUGCUUAGAAUGGAGAAAUGGGAUGAAAUUAAUGUAUAUUGGUUUGAAAUAAUACUCAGACUGAUGCAAAGCACAGGGAAGAAUAUGUAACUGUUUAAGAUGCAUUCCUAUUUUCAGUGUUUUUUUUUUAAUUAACUGAUAUUAUUUUUGUAAUUUUGUUUCUCCUUUUUACGGCAAUUAUAUGUGUAUAUCUUCUUUAUGUAAAUGCCCAAUAAGUAAUACUAUUAGUAUAUCAUAAGAAAUAAACUUUUAAAAUUAAUUGCCUGGAAUUAUUGAAAUGGAAAAUGAAACUAGUCAAAAUCAAGAGUAACAGCAUUUCAGGUACUAGGCAAUAGUUUGCAAUUUAUGCAAA